AACGGAAGUUGUAAUGUUUUGGUUGUCCCCUUUCGUCGUACGUCGACGUUCUGAAGUUAAACGUGCUGAGAAAUGCAUUCACUCUUACCAACCGUGGCUGAUCAGCUUUUUCGGGAUAUCCAGAAAACAUACCAGGAAACGUCUCAGAUUCCUGAUGACCUGCUCAUAGCACUGAAGUUUAUCUUUGGGCCGUGUGCGUUACCCGCUUUGGACCUAGUAGACCAACAUUCAGUCACCUGUCUGUCAUCUCCCAGUGGACGCAAGGUCUUCCAGGUCACUGGAGGCUCAGGACGUCUGUACACUUGCUUCGUGUCCUGUCACUACUGCCCAUGUCCGGCCUUCGCCCACACCGUGCUCCGCAAAAAUGAAGGACUUCUGUGCAAACACAUCCUGGCGGUCUACCUCUGUCAGGCCAUGGGUGUGACUCAGCAGGACAGUGUGACUGACCAGCAGGUGUCCAUGCUGCUAAGUGGGACAUCAACAACCUGAUUACCCAGGUAUAUUCACUGUCAUCAGCACACCGGGCCCAGGAGGGACAGCAUGGAUGGACCCGCUCCUGGAUGAGAGUCCAUGUUUCCGGGCACACGACCAUCGUCCCUGCUCUCUCAGAUGUCUCUCUCUGACCCCAUUCAGGCCUGUUAUUCACAUUUUGUCCUAAUUAAUCUGACCACAUGUGGACAACGCUAAAUUCAGGCCUGUAUGCACCUAAAGCAUCCUGAAUAGGUCCUCAGAUCCAGUUACAAAAAUCCACAUUCGAAGGUUGUUCGAGAAAAGUAUGUGCCCACAUUCUUGAGUCCAUCCUCAACACAUUAGAGACCUCCUCCUCCUCAGCUGUCGUCCUCUGACCCACCCGUACAUUAAUUUAUUAGGAACCUUAGACUGAUCAACGCAUUAUUUAUCGAUGUAAUUGUUAAAAAAAUAUGGUGUGUAUCAAGUUUGUCAGUUAGAUUCAAACCAUUGUCAAAUGAGUUCACGUGAUGCUGAUUAAGUCUAUGUCUCAUGUCACCCGGCAACAUUCACACACUCCUGCACACAGGAAGUGAUUUGUUUUAUGUGAAGUUAGACGGAGGCAACGGCAACGUCGCGCUAGUAAAGUGAGCUGACUGCAAAACGGGUUGCCGACACAAAGAAGUGUCCACAAAAAGUUUCAGAAGUGAAUUCUGCUGCUUAAAAAACCCGAUUUUUCAGCAGUUUGACGACAGAGCCCAUUUUCAGUUGAAGGACACGUUGCUUUUUGUUCAUGAAGACCAAACUGAAAAUCACCUAAAGUUACACCCUGCAGCUUUAAAAUCUUAAUUUAAUCUUAAACUUAAAUCUUUCAUGUUACAACAGUGUGAGUAGAGAUUUGCUCAUCACUCACUCAGACACAGCAAUACACACAAUUAGCAUAUUGACAUACUACACAUCCUCACAGUCAGCAUCUUAUGUGAGAUCUGAUCACGUGAUCGCACAUUUUAAUGCCAGGUGUGAACUCUGUACUUGUGAUGGAAGCAUUCUAUAAACCCUUUGUAAAUAUAAAUGAUCAUAGGGUUUCAAAUGUUUUUUUUCUUGGAAUAAAGGUUGACCUUCAACAAUAUAAACAUUACCUUUAUUAACAAAAUAAUUCACCAUACAUACAGAUUGCAUCAUAUUAAAUAGCAGUAUCAGUUUGCAGUUGUAGUUUUGUUGAAUGGAAAAAAACAAAAAGAAGUUGUACAUCAGCUUGACCACAGUGGGUGUUUUUUCCUGAUUAGUAACGUCACUAUACAGUGGCACACUGACAAAUAAUAGGAAAUGUACUUCGGGAAUGAAAGGCAGGAAUGUUGAACUUGAUCAACUUGUAAUUGUUCGUCUGACCUUUUGGAAAUCACAAAAGAAGGCAAUAUUUUGACAUCAAUUAAUAGUUCAUAGAAUGCCGGACACCUACAGUACUUAUUUUUUGACACAUUACUCAACACAGACAAUAUAAUACAAUGUUACAGUGCAGUUACAGUAUAGAUGUCUCCAUUGGAAUGUACUGAAAUGAUGGCACACUCCUGUGUUUUUAGCCCUUGUUGUGAUGCACAGAUGUGGUGCACUGGACACAACGUCAACAUGAGGGAAGAUAAUGAAGCAAGUAGCCCAAUGUGAGAACGCUGGUUUCAACACCAACGCAACAUGAUAUCAACAUGGAACGAGAAAUGUAAAAUGUCAGUGCAAUGUGUUCUCAUUAGUGUAGUGUCGUGAUGAACAAGAGUCCUACCUUGCUCCGAUUCCAUUUUAUCACUGUCGACUCUCUCGCCCUGUAUUUGUUUCCAAACGCUCAACAGCAACAUGAGAACAAUGUGGACACCACAACACACCCCCAACCCCACACACACACACACACAGAUGAAUGACACCUGCCUCAAAAAAGGGGAAGCAGUGCAGUGCAGCAGCUGUGUUUCCCUCCCUACACUGUCGUUUCGCAAGCAUAUGAAGAACACUGAUGUUUUUACCCGUCUCUCUCUUAAAGGUCCAGUGUGUAAGAAGUAGUGAUAUCUAAAGGUGAGACUAUGGACUGUAACAAACGGAUAUCUCCUCUGCGUCAGGGACCUACAGUGGCCUUCUUCAUUUGCAUAGUGCUGCAGUGAAUCACCUGCCUAUCAAAUUUGCACAAUAUUAUUCGCAAAAUUAUUCCCGGAGAACAAUGUUCUGUUCAGAUGAUCUGCGAAAAUCACUGCGUCACAACAGUAGUGAGUGGCUUUUCCUAUGCGCAGCCAUUUUAUCCAUUCACAGAGGAGAAAUGGCUUCACACGUCUCGCCUCUUUCUCUCUGUCACUAUGCUCUCACUCACUGUAGCUGCCUGCUCGGUGCCGCCGAGUCAUGUGACAGCACUGCUGCAGCACUCAGCAGAGCAGGAGAGGAGGAGCACAGUGGUGUAAAAGUAUUGCUCCCAAACAUGCACAAUUUGUAGAAACUUGGUGGUUCCAUAAAGCAAGGCCUUUAUAUACUGUAAAAGACUUAUUUGACAACAAACACCAAGCCAUUUUUAUCGUAAAGUGAUUAUAUAUAUAUAAGUAUUAUAUAAUUGUUUCACCUAAAUAUUAAACACUGGACCUUUAAAAGUAAUGUCUACUUUUCUGGAGCCAAUUCGACAUGAGGGUGAAGAGUAUCCUGUUUUUAGUGGUUUGAUUCAUAUGAGUCCUCAGUGCAGUUUGUCUUUGAGGUUUCACCCUUAAUUAAACUUGUUUUCCCAACAGAACUCUCUUGCCUCAGUUGAGUCAGUCAUGUCAGCAGCUUAGGGAGAACUGACUGCACAAACGGGCCAGAGAAGAGCCUUGGGAUCCCAGCUGAGACUCUCUGAGGGGAGGGGACUCCUCGGGCAAUGACAUUCAUGUACAGUUGAACAGUGAACUGAAAGAUUGUUUUGAGUUAUGUAAGCAAAUAUUAACGUUUGUACCAGAAGCCUGGCGGUUUGGGACUCGUGUAAAUUGGCUCUCAAAUUUCAGUCUUCAAUCGUGAGUUGGUGCAAAACAAAGGAGAAAACCAUGGCUGUUUGUCUUGGAGUCAGAGAAAACUGUUUCGUCUUGGCGACAGAGGUCACAAAAACAUUUUGUGACCCCUGAGACUUUGAGAGAUGAUUCAUGGGAUUUGCUUAUUCUUUAUUAAUCUAAUUUUUCCCUAGUUCAGAUAAAGGCCAUUUUUGAUCCCUCUGGAGCACCAUGUCUCUCUGCACAUACAGCACAUGUAGUUUUAAGGAGGCAGCAGCGGGGGGAAACCUGCAAUCACUGGCAUCUUUGCCAUGCCAAGUUUUUGAAUAGACAUAUGAAAAUACAACAAAUGACCUUUCAUAAUCAUAUAAAAGAUUCUUCUCUCUGUAUUAAGAGCCUGUGAAGGUCAGGAAUAGGUAGACUUCUACUGUUGUACCUUUCUGGGUCCAUGAGUACAGAUUUAGCCACACAAUGUCUUUUAAUCUCUACAUUCUUAAGGACAAGAUCUUGUAAUAAAUAAGCUAUUUAACAUAAUUUCUGAAUGCUGACAAUAUAAAAUAGCAGGGGGAAAAAGUAAAGUGAAGUUGUAAGAGGGUGGACUCAGAAUGAUAAGUAGCAUUUUAAGGGAGGGUUGUUUUUUUUCACAGUCCAACAAAUCCAGUUACUU